GUGCUUGCUUUGUAAGCAUAUAUAUUGAAAUUGGAAAAAUGUAGAGAAAAUUAGCAUGGCCCCUGCAUAAGAAUAACAUGCAAAUUCUUAAAACAUUCCAUAUUUGU